UGGGAAUUUUGGACAAUGGGCGAAAGCCUGAUCCAGCAAUGCCGCGUGUGUGAAGAAGGCCUUCGGGUUGUAAAGCACUUUUGUCCGGAAAGAAAUCCUUGGCUCUAAUACAGUCGGGGGAUGACGGUACCGGAAGAAUAAGCACCGGCUAACUACGUGCCAGCAGCCGCGGUAAUACGUAGGGUGCAAGCGUUAAUCGGAAUUACUGGGCGUAAAGCGUGCGCAGGCGGUUUGCUAAGACCGAGUGAAAUCCCCGGGCUCAACCUGGGAACUGCAUUGGUGACUGGCAGGCUAGAGUAUGGCAGAGGGGGGUAGAAUUCCACGUGUAGCAGUGAAAUGCGUAGAGAUGUGGAGGAAUACCGAUGGCGAAGGCAGCCCCCUGGGCCAAUACUGACGCUCAUGCACGAAAGCGUGGGGAGCAAACAGGAUUAGAUACCCUGGUAGUCCACGCCCUAAACGAUGUCACUAGUUGUUGGGGAUUCAUUUCCUUAGUAACGUAGCUAACGCGUGAAGUUGACCGCCUGGGGAGUACGGUCG
rnacentral:rRNA from 1 species